UACGGAGGAUGCGAGCGUUAUCCGGAAUUAUUGGGUUUAAAGGGUGCGUAGGCGGUAUGUCGCGUCUGCUGUGAAAGACCGGGGCUUAACUCUGAGUUUGCGGUGGAUACGGGCAGGCUUGAGGCAAGUAGGGGAGAACGGAAUUCCAUGUGUAGCGGUGAAAUGCGCAGAUAUGUGGAGGAACACCGGUGGCGAAGGCGAUUCUCUGGACUGUAACUGACGCUGAGGCUCGAAAGCGUGGGUAGCAAACAGGAUUAGAUACCCCGGUAGUCCCU
rnacentral:rRNA from 1 species